GACGAACGCUGGCGGCGUGCUUAACACAUGCAAGUCGAACGGAAAGGCCCUGCUAGUUUGGUGUGCUCGGUUGCCGAACGGGGAAGUAACAGGUAUGUAACCGGCCCUUGACUUUGGUGUAACUUCAGGAAACUGAGGCUAAUACCGUAUAGGAUCUCCUGCUGCGUGGUGGGGGGUGGAAAUUUUCGGCGGGUGGGGAUGGACGCGCGGCUGAUCGCCUUGUUGGUUGGGGAGUGGCUGACCAAGGCUUGGACGGGUAGCCGGCAUGAGAGGGGGAACGGCGACAUGGGGACUGAGAUACGGAGCAGACUGCUACGGGAGGCAGCAGUGGGGAAUCUUGCACAAUGGGAGGAAGCGGGAUGAAGCAACGCCGCGUGCGGGAUGACGGCCUUUGGGUUGUGAAAAGCUUUAGGCUGUGACGACGCGUGAGUGACGGUACUGGAUAAAGAAGCACCGGCUAACUACGUG
rnacentral:rRNA from 1 species